AUACGGAGGGUGCAAGCGUUAUUCGGAAUCACUGGGCGUAAAGGACGCGUAGGCGGGUUGGCAAGUCAGAUGUGAAAUCCUACAGCUUAACUGUAGAACUGCAUUUGAAACUGCUAACCUAGAGUAUGGGAGGGGGAGAUGGAAAUAGUGGUGUAGGGGUAAAAUCCGUAGAUAUCACUAGGAAUACCGAAAGCGAAGGCGAUCUCCUGGAACAUAACUGACGCUAAGGCGUGAAAGCGUGGGGAGCAAACAGGAUUAGAAACCCUAGUAGUCC
rnacentral:rRNA from 1 species